AGAGUUUGACUCUGGCUCAGAACGAGCGUUGGCAGCGUGGAUUAGGCAUGCAAGUCGAACGAUUUCUUCAAGCGUAGCAAUACAUUUGAAGGAAGAGUGGCGAAAGGGUGAGUAACGCGUGGGCAAUCUACCUCCAGGUUGAGGACAACCCGCCGAAAGGCGGGCUAAUACUGAAUUGGGUCCCCUGACGCAUGUCGGGGUGAUUAAAGGCGGGGAUCCGUAGGGACCUGUCGCCGGGAGAGGAGCCCGCGUCCUAUCAGCUAGUUGGUGAGGUAACGGCUUACCAAGGCUAUGACGGGUAGCUGGUCUGAGAGGAUGGUCAGCCACAUUGGGACUGAGACACUGCCCAGACUCCUACGGGAGGCUGCAGUCGAGGAUCAUUUGCAAUGGGCGAAAGCCUGACAAUGCGACGCUGCGUGGGGGAUGAAGGCCUUCGGGUUGUAAACUCCUGUCAUUUGGGAACAAAGGCAAAGAGGUGAAUAACUUUUUUGCCCUGAUUGUACCGAAAGAGGAAGUCACGGCUAACUCUGUGCCAGCAGCCGCGGUAAUACAGAGGUGGCAAACGUUGUUCGGAUUUACUGGGCGUAAAGGGUGCGUAGGUGGGGUCGUAUGUCGGAUGUGAAAUCUCACUGCUCAACGGUGAAACUGCAUUCGAAACUGCGAUUCUGGAGGUCAUGAGGGGAGAGCGGAAUUCUUGGUGUAGCGGUGAAAUGCGUUGAUAUCAAGAAGAACACCGGUGGCGAAGGCGGCUCUCUGGCAUGAUUCUGACACUGAGGCACGAGAGUUGGGGGAGCAAACAGGAUUAGAUACCCUGGUAGUCCCAACUGUAAACGGUGUACACUUGGCGUGGGAGGAUUUGACCCCUUCCGUGCCGUAGCUAACGCGUUAAGUGUACCGCCUGGGGAGUACGGCCGCAAGGUUAAAACUCAAAGAAAUUGACGGGGGCCCGCACAAGCGGAGGAGCAUGUGGCUUAAUUCGAUGCAACGCGAAGAACCUUACCAGGGCUUGACAUGCAGCUGCAUUUCCCGUGAAAGCGGGGAAGCCUUCGAGGGUGCUGCACAGGUGCUGCAUGGCUGUCGUCAGUUCGUGCCGUGAGGUGUUGGGUUAAGUCCCGCAACGACCGCAACCCCUGUGUUUAGUUGCCAUCAGGUAAUGCUGGGCACUCUAGACAGACUGCCUGUAUAAGCAGGAGGAAGGUGGGGAUGACGUCAAGUCAGUAUGGCCCUUACGCCCUGGGCUGCACACGUGCUACAAUGGCUGGUACAAUGGGAAGCGAGACCGCGAGGUGGAGCAAAUCCCCAAAAACCAACCACAGUUCGGAUUGAAGUCUGAAACUCGACUUCAUGAAGUUGGAUUCGCUAGUAAUGGCGCAUCAGCUACGGCGCCGUGAAUACGUUCCCGGGCCUUGUACACACCGCCCGUCACAUCAUGAAAGCCGUCUGCACCCGAAGUCGCUGAGCCAACCCGCAAGGGGGGCAGGCGCCGAAGGUGUGGGUGGUGAUUGGGAUGAAGUCGAAACAAGGUA
rnacentral:rRNA from 1 species